GGAUGGGAUGCUACAUUGGU
rnacentral:tRNA from 1 species